UUCAAUUGCCUGUUUUGCCAUCAGCUUGCCUCUCUAAGAAAGAGUUUCAGUAAAGUUGUUACCACACCAGAAUAUAUAUUUUCUCUCCUUGCAAGUCUUCCAAUCGGCACGAACUGUGCGAUUUAUAAUUUGUUAGAAAAGUCGAAAUACGAUCAACAUUAAAUUUCCAGGUCUCUUUUUUAGGAAUAAAAGAAGACUCUAAUUAAUUCUGACUAAAAAUACAAUUCUUAAGGUUAUUUUGGCUCGUUAUCUCUCCAAUGCUUAACUUUACAAAUUCUUCUGAACUGCAUUUUUUUACUUUAUUAAACCAUUUCGCCUUUUUCUGUCUUAAAAUUAGGUUGCGUUCGGUGCCGCACUUUGCCCGGCCGCAGAGCGUCACAACUCAGGGCGGAUCCGCGAAAGGCAGCAGGCCACUUUGCGUUGCGGCUGCUCAUUUUUCGUGAGUCAGAGCCGAGUGAGUGAAUUCGCGUGGCAUCCCGCGCUCCCUCGAGAGAGGACGCCAGCGCACCCCCUCCAUUCUACACUGAUUGAGCUGCAGCUUUAAUUUUGGAGAGGCUGUCGUGUUGUAUGCUUCCGCGAAUCAAAAGAAAGAGGCUCACUCCAGAUCCAGAUGGCGAAGAAAAGGACUUAGAUUUUGGAUAAACAUCAAACUACGGAUGAGAUGGAGGAGAUUUUAAGACAAGGUGAGGCUCAAGGUCAUCCAAAAGGUCCAGCGAAUCUUGGUUUCUUUCAGUUCGAAUCAGGCAAACAAAAUGCAAACAACGUGUUUGUUCUUGUCGUCCAUUACGAUUUCAAAAACACGACGAAAUUACGAAACUGUGAUGCGCGAGACGUAGAGAACCUGGAAGCGACAUUUGGAAAGAACCGAAACUGCAAUUUCCGCAGCCUUUA